rnacentral:rRNA from 1 species
GACGAACGCUGGCGGCGUGCUUAACACAUGCAAGUCGAACGGAAAGGCCCUGCUUUUGUGGGGUGCUCGAGUGGCGAACGGGUGAGUAACACGUGAGUAACCUGCCCUUGACUUUGGGAUAACUUCAGGAAACUGGGGCUAAUACCGGAUAGGAGCUCCUGCUGCAUGGUGGGGGUUGGAAAGUUUCGGCGGUCGGGGAUGGACUCGCGGCUUACCAGCUUGUUGGUGGGGUAGUGGCUUACCAAGGCUUUGACGGGUAGCCGGCCUGAGAGGGUGACCGGCCACAUUGGGACUGCGAUACGGCCCAGACUCCUACGGGAGGCAGCAGUGGGGAAUAUUGCACAAUGGGCGGAAGCCUGAUGCAGCAACGCCGCGUGCGGGAUGACGGCCUUCGGGUUGUAAACCGCUUUCGCCUGUGACGAAGCGUGAGUGACGGUAAUGGGUAAAGAAGCACCGGCUAACUACGUG